rnacentral:ncRNA from 1 species
AGAGGGAACCCGGUGGGAUUCCGGGACUGUCCCGCAGCGGUGAGCGGGAACGACCGCCGUCAUGAGCACUGGGAGCCCCCGGGAAGCGACGGCCAGUAGGUCGGCACAGCCGGAGCCCGUGAGUCCGAAGACCU